GGCCUCCAGGGCCAUCCAGUCGGACCCCGGCUGCAGCCGGCUUCUCUCACGACACGCCCACCAUGUGCAUUGAAUGCAAGGCCCA